UGAGGAAUCUUCCGCAAUGGGCGAAAGCCUGACGGAGCAACGCCGCGUGAAUGAAGAAGGCCUUCGGGUCGUAAAGUUCUGUCUUUAGGGAAGAAGACUAGAUAUGUAAAUAAUGUAUCUAGGUGACGGUACCUUAGGAGGAAGCUCCGGCUAACUACGUGCCAGCAGCCGCGGUAAUACGUAGGGAGCAAGCGUUGUCCGGAAUUACUGGGCGUAAAGGGCGUGUAGGCGGGUAUUUAAGUCAGAUGUGAAAACUCCGAGCUCAACUUGGAGACUGCAUUUGAAACUGGAUAUCUUGAGGGCAGGAGAGGAAAGUGGAAUUCCUAGUGUAGCGGUGAAAUGCGUAGAUAUUAGGAGGAACACCAGUGGCGAAGGCGACUUUCUGGACUGUACCUGACGCUGAGGCGCGAAAGCGUGGGGAGCGAACG
rnacentral:rRNA from 1 species